UCGCGGCUUAUCACCGGCAGUCCCCUUAGAGUGCCCAACUAAAUGAUGGCAACUAAGGGCGAGGGUUGCGCUCGUUGCGGGACUUAACCCAACAUCUCACGACACGAGCUGACGACAGCCAUGCAGCACCUGUGCAGGGACUCCGAAGAGGGGUCCUGGUUUCUCAGGACUUUCCCCUGCAUGUCAAGCCCAGGUAAGGUUCUUCGCGUUGCGUCGAAUUAAACCACAUGCUCCACCGCUUGAGCGGGCCCCCGUCAAUUCCUUUGAGUUUUAGCCUUGCGGUCGUACUCCCCAGGCGGGGCACUUAACGCGUAAGCUGCGACACGGAGAGGGCCGAUCCCCCCCGCAUCCAGUGCCCAUCGUUUACGGCGUGGACUAC
rnacentral:misc_RNA from 1 species